GAUUAAAUUAGUAUAAUUUUAUAAAUAAUAUUUAUAAUUUAGGCAAAAAAAAUUUUCACCUGUUUAUCAAAAACAUGUCUUUUAGAAAGAAUUAAAAGUCUAAUCUGCCCAAUGAUUUAAAAUUAAAUGGCCGCGGUAAAUUGACCGUGCAAAGGUAGCAUAAUAAAUAGUCUUUUAAUUGGAGGCUUGAAUGAAUGAUUGAAUGAAAAAUUAACUUAAUUAGUGUUAAUAAUUGAAAUUGAUUUUUAAGUAAAAAAGCUUAAAUAUAUAAGUGGGACGAGAAGACCCUAUAGAAUUUUGAAAAUUUUCUUGAGUUUACUAAUUUGUAGUUAAUUAAUUUUUUUUAUUUAAUUAAUUUUUUUGUUGGGGUGAUGUUAAAAUAGAAUUAACUUUUAAUAAAUAUUUCAUUAAUAUAUGUUUUUAUUGAUCCAAAUUUUUGAUUAUAAGAAUAAAUUACCUUAGGGAUAACAGCGUAAUUAAUUUGAAGAGUUCAUAUCGAUAAAUAAGAUUGCGACCUCGAUGUUGGAUUAAGAAUAGGAAUUGGAGCAAAAUUUAUUAUUUCUGGGUCUGUUCGACCUUUAAUAUUCUUACAUGAUCUGAGUUCAGACCGGCGUGAGCCAGGUUGGUUUCUAUCUACUUAACUAUUUUUAAUGCUAGUACGAAAGGACCUCAUUAAAUAAUAUUAUUAU
rnacentral:rRNA from 1 species